CUUGCCACGCUGCCCAACUACACCAAACAUGAAAGGCCAGGCGUGCACAGCUAUACUGGUGCUGACGGCGGGGCUGCUGGUGGGAGCAGCCCCAGAAAAGGAACCGAAAGAGUUUUGGUUUUCCUUCUUUCGUAAAGAACUCUUCGAUAUCUGCGGAGACAACAUAUGCAAUCUUCCAACCAAUCCAUGCUUCAAUGAUCUCAAGGGACUUGCUUAUAAAACGGAGGAGCGAGUGCAAGAUUUAAAAAAAAGAAUGACGCAGUGUGCCACGAAGAUUGGGGCCCCCAACGCAGACUUCAGCACCCUCACUCUGGGUAAGUUUAUGUAUUAUGAUGUCAUGCUACUGUCCUGGAAUUCCUGUGGUUUCUAUAGCUUGAGAGGAGACGAUGUACAUCCGAUGCAGCUAACACUCACUGAAAUGGGUCCACUGCCGUAGCUAGAGAUGAGACCACAUGACAUAGUACCAAUUAUUGCAACUGUAGCUACAGAAUGAGACCAAGUAAAAUAAAUGUAGCAGACAGUCACUGCAAUCCCUGGGCUCAGGCGGCUCGCUCCUGGGUUAAAGAGACCACAAGGCACUGCAGCAAGCACCAGUCAAUGCUAUCCUUAUGGUUAGAGCCUAUCCAUGAAGCUAAGGAGGAGACCACAAGAAAUGACUGCAGAUUCUUUCUCUUUUUGUUCUCCUUAUUUGGCGUUUGCCUAGAAUCAUAUACUAGUCUUAGCCACUUGUUUCCGUCCCUUCCAUGUUCCUCCGUGACUUCCGCCCUUUCAAUUAACCGCAAUUUCUUCUCUCUGUCUUCCCUUCGAUCUUCUUCCUUCUGGAUUUCUCAUUUCAUUUACUCGGUUCCUGAUAUCGUAAAAUGAAAACAGCUUUCAGUCAAUGAAUAGAAGGACAAGGCAGGAACGAUAUCCUAGCGGUGCGCGGUGGAUCUCCACUGUGCCUAGUGACCAUGUGGCAACACAGUACACACAGCGGCGGGAAGGUCUACUGUAUGCGACUAAACUUACGUAUUGUUCUUUUAUAAAAACAACCAUAUAACUAUAUCCUCUCCAACCCAACACAAUUAUUCUUUUACGCUCCUUCACCCACAUUUCCUAACCAAACUGUUUCUCCCUUCAUUUUUCACUACACCUCAACAAUCCCCUUUCACUGUUGUGUUUAUGCUUCUCUCCUUUUCUCCUCACAAAACAGAGAAAAUGAAUGCGGCAUUCUCUAAUAGUAAAGACUUUUCCACUGAGGCCACGGAGUACAUCAUUUUCUUGAACAGCUUCGGAAUAUCUGGCAGGAAACGUCAGCACGACAUGAUGCGCUGUUCCCUCAAUUUGAGUGGCCAGCUCCCUAAACUGAAGAAGUGCAUAAAGGAAGCAAAAGCUGAAGGAAAAAAUUAAACAGAUACAACUUAAUAGAUACUCUACUCCUGGUGUGGACCACUGCAAGACUCGCCUCAAGGACCACGCCAAAAAGUUGUUUGAAGGAAUAUGUCUUCUUACUAACAUAAACAGUGGAUAAGUUGCCAACUAAACUACAAGCACGUACAAGUAACUAGCUAAUUACAAAACUCAAAUGGAGGUGGCUUAAGACGCUGAGCAUACCCUUUAACCCCUUCAAUACUGAGACGCAUUUCUACCUUGAAUUUUUAAUAUAAUUAGACUAUUUUAGUAGUAGUAGUAGUAGUAGUAGUAGUAGUAGUAGUAGUAGUAGUAGUAGUAUCAUUUUUUUUUUUUUUUUUUUUUUUUUUACGCUAUGGCCUGUAGGUAUAUUUGAAGAGUAUGUAUUGGAAGCGCUGUUCAGCUUCCACCCAUUAGUGGCGCAGGCAAUUUUAUUUACAGUGGUACCCAUAUUUAGGCCCAAGCGUAUCUUUCGUGUAACUACGUAGAACCUGGGUAUCAUAGUGACAUGUAGGUAACUUUAAACCCUUCAACAACUGGCAUAGUUUCAAGGGGGGUACAUUGUGAAACUCGAACCUAUACGCGUGGACGUCUGCCUGAUCCCACGCUCAUUACCUUAUCCAAAAGAAUAAUGGCCAGAGUUUUUACUAUCUUUAUCCCAACAUAUGUUUCUGAAGCUGCAUAAAAUAACCAAAUAAUAAACCAAAAUGAAUAUGAAAACACGUCCUGAUACUGAAUAGAUUAAAAGCUUCCACAACCAAUGUCCUCAAAUCCCUCGCCUACUUGUGAAUCGUUUCUGAAAGCCACAUGAGUGAUUGCAAGGGUUAUCAUGGCUGUUCUGGUCAUUUAAGAGGCAGAAUUCUUUUUUAUAUACAAUAUGGGCUUUUUACGGGAAUUUCUAAACAAAAGGAGGUAUUUACUUGCCAGACUAUCCCCAUAAAACGCAAUUGAAAUCUUUGUCGUAAUCUCUAUGAAUAUAUUGUAGCAAUGAAGUGGCCGUCAUAUUUUGUACCUCAAGGUUUGUUCCGUGCCCUUUGGAGAUAAAAGUACCCCAAGUUAAGAAAAUAAGAACAUAGGAAGGUAAAGAAAGCUACAAAAAUUCAUCACACGUAGCAUUCCGCGUAAAGAACCACUGAUUUACACUUUACAAUACAAUGUGAGCAUGAAAAUCUUAAUCAGCAUGGAAAUUCAGUUCCUAAUUAAUAUGAUGAUGAUGAUGGUGAUGAUGAUGAUGAUGAUGGUGAUGAUGGUGAUAACACACCCACGUAUAUUAAUAUCUCUAGUUUACAUUAAAGUCCCUUACUUUUGUCUACAAUUGCCAUCAUAGAAAACGUAAAUUGCAUCUUUAUAAGAGAAAACUGAAGCUUUGUUUGGGCAACUUGUUCAUUUGUUUUUCAGUUUGCAUAUAUUUGAAAAUCUACAUAGUACAUCAAAAUCUUCUUACUUCCAAUGUCUUUAUCUUUACCUAUUUCAUCCAACAGAACUGACAUUUAGGUUUAUCUAUACUUUUAUCACACUCAUCCUGUUUCCUUAAUAUUACUGACACAGCAGCAUCAGAAACAGCAGCAACAGCAGCAGCAACAGUAGCAGCAGCAGCAACAGCACCACCACCACCACCACCACCAACAACAACAACAACAACAAC